rnacentral:rRNA from 1 species
GGCGGCGUGCCUAAUACAUGCAAGUCGAGCGAACAGACGAGGAGCUUGCUCCUUUGACGUUAGCGGCGGACGGGUGAGUAACACGUAGGUAACCUACCUAUAAGACUGGGAUAACUUCGGGAAACCGGAGCUAAUACCGGAUAAUAUUUCGAACCGCAUGGUUCGAUAGUGAAAGAUGGCUUUGCUAUCACUUAUAGAUGGACCUGCGCCGUAUUAGCUAGUUGGUAAGGUAACGGCUUACCAAGGCAACGAUACGUAGCCGACCUGAGAGGGUGAUCGGCCACACUGGAACUGAGACACGGUCCAGACUCCUACGGGAGGCAGCAGUAGGGAAUCUUCCGCAAUGGGCGAAAGCCUGACGGAGCAACGCCGCGUGAGUGAUGAAGGUCUUCGGAUCGUAAAACUCUGUUAUUAGGGAAGAACAAA